AGAGUUUGAUCAUGGCUCAGAUUGAACGCUGGCGGCAUGCCUUACACAUGCAAGUCGAACGGCAGCACGGGGGGUAACCCCUGGUGGCGAGUGGCGAACGGGUGAGUAAUAUAUCGGAACGUGCCCUGUAGCGGGGGAUAACCUAUCGAAAGAUGGACUAAUACCGCAUACGCUCUACGGAGGAAAGCGGGGGUCGCAAGACCUCGCACUAUAGGAGCGGCCGAUAUCGGAUUAGCUAGUUGGCGGGGUAAAAGCCCACCAAGGCGACGAUCCGUAGCUGGUCUGAGAGGAUGAUCAGCCACACUGGAACUGAGACACGGUCCAGACUCCUACGGGAGGCAGCAGUGGGGAAUUUUGGACAAUGGGCGCAAGCCUGAUCCAGCCAUGCCGCGUGAGUGAAGAAGGCCUUCGGGUUGUAAAGCUCUUUCGGCAGGAACGAAAUGGUUCGUGCUAAUACCACGGACUGAUGACGGUACCUGAAGAAGAAGCACCGGCUAACUACGUGCCAGCAGCCGCGGUAAUACGUAGGGUGCAGGCGUUAAUCGGAAUUACUGGGCGUAAAGCGUGCGCAGGCGGUUUCUUAAGUCAGAUGUGAAAGCCCCGGGCUUAACCUGGGAACUGCGUUUGAAACUGGGAGACUUGAGUGUGGCAGAGGGGGGUGGAAUUCCACGUGUAGCAGUGAAAUGCGUAGAUAUGUGGAGGAACACCGAUGGCGAAGGCAGCCCCCUGGGUUAACACUGACGCUCAUGCACGAAAGCGUGGGGAGCAAACAGGAUUAGAUACCCUAGUAGUCC
rnacentral:rRNA from 1 species